GACGGAGGGUGCAAGCGUUGUUCGGAAUCACUGGGCGUAAAGCGCGUGUAGGCGGCCCGAUUAGUCGAGUGUGAAAGCCCGAGGCUCAACCUCGGAAGCGCACUCGAAACUGUCAGGCUUGAGUACGGGAGAGGGAAGUGGAAUCCCUGGUGUAGAGGUGAAAUUCGUAGAUAUCAGGAGGAACACCGGUGGCGAAGGCGGCUUCCUGGACCGAUACUGACGCUGAGACGCGAAAGCGUGGGGAGCAAACAGGAUUAGAUACCCUGGUAGUCCACGCCGUAAACUGUGAGCGCUAGGUGUAGCGGGUAUUGACCCCUGCUGUGCCGAAGCUAACGCAUUAAGCGCUCCGCCUGGGGAGUACGGCCGCAAGGUUAAA
rnacentral:rRNA from 1 species